AACGAACGCUGGCGGCAGGCUUAACACAUGCAAGUCGAGCGCCCCGCAAGGGGAGCGGCAGACGGGUGAGUAACGCGUGGGAAUCUACCCAUCUCUACGGAAUAACGCAUGGAAACGUGUGCUAAUACCGUAUACGUCCUUCGGGAGAAAGGUUUAUCGGAGAUGGAUGAGCCCGCGUUGGAUUAGCUAGUUGGUGGGGUAAAGGCCUACCAAGGCGACGAGCCAUAGCUGGUCUGAGAGGAUGAUCAGCCACACUGGGACUGAGACACGGCCCAGACUCCAUCGGGAGGCAGCAGUGGGGAAUAUUGGACAAUGGGCGCAAGCCUGAUCCAGCCUGGCCGCGUGAGUGAUGAAGGCCCUAGGGUUGUAAAGCUCUUUCACCGGUGAAGAUAAUGACGGUAACCGUAGAAGAAGCCCCGGCUAACUUCGUGCCAGCAGCCGCCGUAAGAC
rnacentral:rRNA from 1 species